CGGUGAGUUGAAGCUUAAACGGAUGCGGUAAAGCGUGCUAAGGUAGCUAAGUUAUGGCCUAGUUAAUUGUAGGUCCUGUGAAUGGUUUGACGAGUUUUCUUCUGUCUCUAGUUUGUUUAGGUGAACUUGAAUUGGAUGUGCAAAUGCUUCCUUGGGAAAGAAAGACGAGAAGACCCCGUGAAGUUAGAAAUUAGUGGUAGGGUUUAUUCACCCUAUCUCUUGGUUUUGGCUGGGGCAGCAAGGGGGCAAAUUUAGACCUCUUAAGGUGUAGCACUGGUGAGUAAUGACCCAUGGAAUAAAAAUGCAUGAUUAGUAGAAGAAGUUACUCCGGGGAUAACAGCGUAAUCCGUCUUGAUAGCUCUUAUAGAUGGGCGGGUUUGCGACCUCGAUGUUGGCUCUGGAUAUCCUGAGGCUGUAGGCGGUCUCAAGGGUUGGUUCGUUCGCCCAUUAAAAUCCAACGUGAUC
rnacentral:rRNA from 1 species